rnacentral:rRNA from 1 species
GUAGAACGCUGGCGGCAUGCCUUACACAUGCAAGUCGAACGGUAACAGGUCUUCGGAUGCUGACGAGUGGCGAACGGGAGAGUAAUACAUCGGAACGUUCAUAGUAGUGGGGUAUAACUACUCGAAAGAGUGGCUAAUACCGCAUGAGAUCUACGGAUGAAAGCAGAGGAUGGCGAGACCUUGAGCUACUAGAUCGGGCGAUGGCAGAUUAGGUAGUUGGUGGGAUAAAAGCUUACCAAGCCGACGAUCUGUACCUGGUCUGAGAGGACGAUCAGCCACACUGGGACUGAGACACGGCCCAGACUCCUACGGGAGGCAGCAGUGGGGAAUUUUGGACAAUGGGCGCAAGCCUGAUCCAGCAAUGCCGCGUGCAGGAUGAAGGCCUUCGGGUUGUAAACUGCUUUUGUACGGAACGAAAAGCCCUGGGUUAAUACCCUGGGGUCAUGGCGGUACCGUAAGAAUAAGCACCGGCUAACUACGUGCCAGCCGCCGCAGUAA